rnacentral:lncRNA from 1 species
GCGGCCGCCGCGGCUUCGGCCUCUCGCAGGCGGAGUCCGCCGCCGGGCGGGGACGCGCGGGGCCGAGGCGCGGCCCGACGGGAGGGGGCGGCCCCUGGGGAGGGGGCUGGGGCGGGCGAGCCCCGGCAGGCCCGCGGCCCCGCCCGGAAUCUGGGGGGGGGGGGCGGGGGCCGCGGGGGCGGGGCGCGUGACGUCACGCCCAGCCGGCCGCGCCCCCGCCGGUGCCCAGGCCGGUGCCGAGCCGCCGGCCCCCGGGCCAGCCGAUCGGGGGCCCCUGCCGCCCCCCAGGCCCCUCACCCCGGCCGGCCCGGAUCAGAAGUGUCGACGCCCCGAAACGAGUCACCGCGGACGGCCGCGUGCGGCCAGGUGCUUCUGUGGUGAACACACGAGUGUGUGAGGCGUGUGCUGAAUGGCAUCGUGAAGGCGCAGGAUGUCCACAGUGUGCCUGCAGUGGGGGUUAUCCCCACCCCACUCUCCCCCAAGAACGGACAAGAUGGAGGGGCUCCCAGAAGGACCCUGUCCCUGGAGCCCGGCCAGGGCUGGGGGCACGGGGUACAAAGUAGGGCCCAGCACGUCUCUCUCUAAGCAAGACUCACUUCCAGCCUGCCCAGGAGAUGGCAGCGCUGCUCUCUCCUCGAGGGCCUGGGGACUCAGAGUUAGGACACGUGGACAUCCUCAACAAUGCUUGAUAUGGUGGUCGAUUUGUAAACAUUCAAUAGGAAUAUCAUGA